UACAGAGGUCUCAAGCGUUGUUCGGAUUCAUUGGGCGUAAAGGGUGCGUAGGCGGCGCGGUAAGUCGGGUGUGAAAUCUUGGAGCUUAACUCCGAAACUGCAAUUCGAUACUGCCGUGCUUGAGGACUGGAGAGGAUGACUGGAAUUUACGGUGGUAGCGGUGAAAUGCGUAGGAUAAUCGUAAGGAAGACCAGUGGCGAAGGGCGGGGUCUCUGGACAGUUCCUGACGUGAGGCACGAAGGCCAGGGGAGCGAAACGGGG
rnacentral:rRNA from 1 species